UCUGGCCGUUGGAUGGAUAUCUAAUCCAAACGGCUACAUAUCUUUCUAUGCUUUUUAUGUUGCAGGAUUUUCUAGCCGUUAGCUCAACCUAUUGCAAUUCAAUUUCCUGAUAUAAACCUGUAAUAAUGUCUUUCACCAUGCAUGUUACCUUCAAAGCAAACACAGGGCUAUCCGUACAGGAUAUGGAGCCUCUCAUAGCUGACAAAGGUAAAUUAGCUGAUAUUAUGGAUUUUUCUGAGCAAAGUUAUCAUUGGAACUACAGAGGCAAAAAGACUGAGAAAUUAGGAGCAGUUCAAAUUAGGAGCAGCAAGAAGACUGUGAAAUAGCUGCCAUCAGGUGUUUUCAUUGCAGAAGAACAAUUUCGGCGAGAGUAACAUAAAAGAAUACCAGUGUCGACAUAGAUGUUGGCUCCGAACUUGUUCGUAGAAUUGCCAAAAUGGCACUGUGAAUUGGUGGCUUCAGAGGACUUUUCUCUGUCAGCUCGACCAUUGGUGUUGGAAGGCGCAUUCCCUGAGUUAAUGCAUGAUGACUCCAAGGAUUAUGACCCAUAUGGAGUUUAUAGUGUUUUGUGCGGCUGCAUUAUUAUUUGUUUAAUUAGUUGUGUUGUAUUUUUAUUUAUUUUGUUUUUUGUAAAUUUAUAUUUUGUAUUGUAAUGUAAUAACAAUAUUAUCUAUUUUAUUUUUUUAUUUA